AAGAAAGAAUGCAAGAACUGCUAAUUCAUGCCUCCACGUCUAAACCCGUGGCUUUCUUA
rnacentral:tRNA from 1 species